rnacentral:rRNA from 1 species
UACAGAGGGUGCGAGCGUUAAUCGGAAUUACUGGGCGUAAAGCGCGCGUAGGCGGCUUUGCAAGUCGAGUGUGAAAUCCCCCAGGCUCAACCUGGGAACUGCAUUCGAGACUGCAUAGCUAGAGUAUGGGAGAGGGAAGUGGAAUUUCAGGUGUAGCGGUGAAAUGCGUAGAUAUCUGAAGGAACAUCAGUGGCGAAAAGUGACUUCCUGGACCAAUACUGACGCUCAUGUGCGAAAAGCGUGGGGGAGCAAAACAGG